GACGAACGCUGGCGGCGUGCUUAACACAUGCAAGUCGAACGGUGAAGCGCCUUCCUUUUUGGUGGGUGUGGAUGAGUGGCGAACGGGCGAGUAACACGUGAGUAACCUGCCCCCUUCUUCUGGAUAACCGCAUGAAAGUGUGGCUAAUACGGGAUAUUCUGGGUCUGUCGCAUGAUGGGUCUGGGAAAGAUAUUGUUUCGGUGGGGGAUGGGCUCGCGGCCUAUCAGCUUGUUGGCGGGGUGAUGGCCUAGCAAGGCGGCGACGGGUAGCCGGCCGGAGCGGAGGCUCGGCCCAGCUGCGACUGGGAGACGGCAGAGAGUAAUAUGGCAGGAUGCGGGGAAGAAUGAUGCAGCGAGGGCGCGAGAGUGAUGGAGCCAUGCGGGGUGUGAGCCGCUUGCGCCAGUGAUGCAGGCCUGCCUUGUUUGUGAGUAGGUUGACGGUAGCUGGAUAAGAAGCGCCGGCUAACUACGUG
rnacentral:rRNA from 1 species